rnacentral:rRNA from 1 species
AACGAACGCUGGCGGCAGGCUUAACACAUGCAAGUCGAGCGCCCCGCAAGGGGAGCGGCAGACGGGUGAGUAACGCGUGGGAAUCUACCCAUCACUACGGAACAACUCCGGGAAACUGGAGCUAAUACCGUAUACGUCCUUCGGGAGAAAGAUUUAUCGGUGAUGGAUGAGCCCGCGUUGGAUUAGCUAGUUGGUGGGGUAAUGGCCUACCAAGGCGACGAUCCAUAGCUGGUCUGUGAGGAUGAUCAGACACACUGGGACUGAGUAUCGGCCCAGAGUCCUACGGGAGGCAGCAGUGGGGAAUAUUGGACAAGGAGCGAAAUCCUGAUCCAGCCAUGCCGCGUGAGUGAUGAAGGCCAUAGGGUUGUAAAGCUCUUUCGCAGGUGAAGAUAAUGACGGUAACCUGAGAAGAAGCCCCAGCUAACUUCGUGCCAGCCGCCGCAGUAACAC